UACUCAGGAGAUCAAUUGAGGCAUGCUUCC
rnacentral:piRNA from 1 species